rnacentral:rRNA from 1 species
UACGUAGGGUGCAAGCGUUUAAUCGGAAUUACUGGGCGUAAAGCGUGCGCAGGCGGUUAUGUAAGACAGAUGUGAAAUGCCCGGGCUUAACCUGGGAACUGCAUUUGUGACUGCAUGGCUAGAGUUUGGCAGAGGGGGGUAGAAUUCCACGUGUAGCAGUGAAAUGCGUAGAUAUGUGGAGGAACACCGAUGGCGAAGGCAGCCCCCUGGGUCAAGACUGACGCUCAUGCACGAAAGCGUGGGGAGCAAACGAGG